GUAAGAGCUUGCUCUUAUGAGUUAGUGGCGCACGGGUGAGUAAUGUAUAGCUAAUCUGCCCUACACUAGAGGACAACAGUUGGAAACGACUGCUAAUACUCUAUACUCCUCUCUAGCAUAAGUUAGAUAGGGAAAGUUUUUCGGUGUAGGAUGAGGCUAUAUUGUAUCAGCUAGUUGGUGAGGUAAUGGCUCACCAAGGCUAUGACGCAUAACUGGUCUGAGAGGAUGAUCAGUCACACUGGAACUGAGACACGGUCCAGACUCCUACGGGAGGCAGCAGUAGGGAAUAUUGCUCAAUGGGGGAAACCCUGAAGCAGCAACGCCGCGUGGAGGAUGACACUUUUCGGAGCGUAAACUCCUUUUGUUAGGGAAGAACAAUGACG
rnacentral:rRNA from 1 species